GAUGACAGGGCCAAACCCAUCGCGAGGUGGGGACGGAAAGCCACGGGUCUUUUACCAAAAGAUAGCCGGGUUGCCAGAA
rnacentral:ncRNA from 1 species